rnacentral:rRNA from 1 species
AUUGAACGCUGGCGGCAGGCCUAACACAUGCAAGUCGAGCGGAUCGACGGACGUGUGCGUAAUGCCACGGAAUCUGCCUGGUCCUGGUGGAUCACGUCCGGAAACGGGCGCUAAUACCGCAUACUCUCAGAUGAGCCUCGGUCGGAUUAGCUAGUUGGUGGGGUAAAGGCCUACCAAGGCGACGGUCCGUAACUGGUCUGAGAGGAUGAUCAGUCACACUGGAACUGAGACACGGUCCAGACUCCUACGUGAGGCAGCAGUGGGGAAUAUUGGACAAUGGGCGAAAGCCUGAUGCAGCCAUGCCGCGUGUGUGAAGAAGGUCUUCGGAUUGUAAAGCACUUUAAGUUGGGAGGCGUUACCAACAGAAUAAGCACCGGCUAACUUCGUGCCAGCAGCCGCGGUAAUUC